UACGGAGGGUGCGAGCGUUGUCCGGAAUCAUUGGGCGUAAAGGGCGCGUAGGUGGCCUGGUCAGCGUGCGGUGAAAGCUCGGGGCUCAACCCCGAGUCGGCCGUGCGAACUGCUGGGCUGGAGCACUGUAGAGGCAGGCGGAAUUCCGGGUGUAGCGGUGGAAUGCGUAGAGAUCCGGAAGAACACCGGUGGCGAAGGCGGCCUGCUGGGCAGUUGCUGACACUGAGGCGCGACAGCGUGGGGAGCGAACAGG
rnacentral:rRNA from 1 species